rnacentral:tRNA from 1 species
UCCAGGGUAGCCUAGUGGACAUGGCACCUGCCCGGGAAGCAGAAGGUUGUGGGUUCGAUUCCCGCCCCUGGAC